UUUUUCUUUUUUUAGACAUAAUGCUAUUGCACACUUAAUAGACUAUAGUGUAAACGUAACUUUUAUAUACACUAGGAAAUCGAAAAAUCUGUGUCUCAUUUUUACCGGGAUAUUCGGAUAUGUGCUUCACUGUGUUGAUCUGGAACUGAAUCAGUGAUCUCUCUGAAGAUGCCUGUACAGGACUGAUGUCAUCGUGAACUGUACUCAGCAAAGGGACGCCCACCAGGGUCAUGGGAUGCAUGGUAACUACAUGCUCUCAUUUUUCCUCUGCCCAAAGCGGCAGCCAGUAGUCAGGACAUACUGUCAAUAAUGACACUCAAGGGCCCUUGUAAAACCCAUGUCAUGUCAUCAAUACAAGGGUCAGUGGUGCCUCCCCUACCUUUGCCAAGUGAAACUCACUAGAGUGUGUGUCAAUCAGGCCCCCAUCUCUGAUCAAUAGAUCCUUCCAAGGAGUUAAAGCAGAUAUAGUCAAGUUAUUUAUUGAAGUUCCCAUUGUGGCUCAGUGGUAAAAACCUGACAUAGUGUCCAUACGGAUGUGGGUUUGAUCCCUGGCCUUGCUUAGUGGGUUAAGGAUGUGGCAUUGCUGCAAGCUGCAGUGUAGGUCACAGACUCAACUGGGAUCCUGUGUUGCUGUGGCAUAGGCUGGCAGAUGCAGCUCCGAUUCAGUCCCUAGCCUGGGAACCUCCAUAUGCCACAGGCGCAGCUUGUAAAAAGAAAAAAAAAGUUAUUUAUAGCAUGCUGACACUGCUUAUAAUUCUUCCCUAACAGGUUAUAGAGGGAGUUCCCUAGUGGUCCAGUGGUUAGUAUUCAUCACUUUCACUGCUGUGCCCUGGGUUCAGUCCCUGGUCUGGAAAAUGAAAGCUACUGCAGGCCAUGGCCAAAAUAAAUAAAUUUUAAAAAGUUACAGAAAUAAUUUUGCUCUCUAUUGAUUUGAUUUUUUUUUCAUUCAACAAACAUUGAUUUGUUUUCUUCCCUCCUUGCUUCAAAUAGGAGUUGAACAAAAUAACAAAACUGUUUAAGUUGAAAAAAAUAACAAAACCGCAAAAAGUCACAACAGAAGUCCUUCCCUGCCUAUAAGGCAGCUGCCUGGCCCCACAGAUCCAGGGAGCGCCUGGGUAAGAAGACAGAUAAACCAGUUUGACAGGUGGAAGGAGGCCAGAGUCGGUUUGCUGCCCGCCUCCUCCCACUCCCCCCAAAGUGAACCCACUGAAGGCCUGAGAAGAGGUCAGAUCAAUGAGAAAGUCAUUCCAAAGGCUCCUGAGAGACACAGGCUGGCGCUCUUCAGUGCCUAGUUCAAUCCGGCCUCCUUUAACGGAGGCAGUGUAUCCAGACUCCAGUGACUGCAGAAGGCGCUACUAAUUCCUCACACCUGCAAACUUCUUUGAAUAAUGUCCUUUGCACAGCUGUCCGGCUCAGGGGUCCCCUCUCUGGUCUGUAGCCAAUGCACAGAACAAAAAUCAAUGCACACUGCCAAAACAGGGGCAUCUCUGUGGUCCCCCUCACCCGCCAGAGCGCCCACACGAUCAGGCGGAGGGAUACUUCUCAAACGCUGGGUCUAGUCUUCCUCCUGCCCUUGCCCGCUGCCCUCACUCUAGAAACCAUCGCAUGAGACUCCCCAGCUCCAGCUCUGCUUUUCGGGAAGCUGACUUCAACACUUCCUGUGAUGGAUGUUGGGAAUUUUUUUUUUUCUUUUUAGGGCCACACCUGUGGCAUAUGCAAAUUCCCAGGCUAGGGGUCUAAACAGAGUUAGCAGCUGAGGCCUAUCCCAUAGCCACGGAAACACCGGAUCUGAGCCACAUCUGUGACCUAUGUGUAGCCUGCUGCUACUCGCGCUCCUCAACCCACGGAGCGGGGCCAGGGAUCAAACCCCCAUCCUCAGGGAGACUACGUUGGAUUCUUAAUCUGCAGAGGCACAAUGGGAACCCCAGGUGUUGGGAAAUUCUAAGAAAAAUUCUGGUCACGCAGGUCUUCUUGUUCCCUAGACUUUUCUGGUUCUUGACAUUAAAAAAAAUUUUUUUUUUUUUUUUGGUCAUGUCCACAGCCUGCAGAAGAUCUCCCACCAGGGACUGAACCCGCACCACAGCAGCCACAACAGUGACAACCUCGAACCCCUUACCGGCUGAACCACCAGGGUACUCCCUAACAUCUUAAAUAAAGUCAAGUGGGAGACCAGAGCAGUGGAACUCUGAGCUCUGAACACUAAGGAGAGCCUCUCAAUGACAGUGGAUGCAGAAGAUCCCUGAAACUGUAAGGAAACCACAGGUGAUGUUUGAGAAUCUGAGUUACAGGCCAGAUGAAAAAAUUUCUAAGAACAGCCAACAUCUGGCCCAGCCAUUCUACUUUCAGGAAUUUCUCUUUCUGAUAAUCUUUUACACACACAAAACUAUGAUAUACACAAAGCUGCCCACAACAGCAUUAGGAGGUAACAAAAGAUGUGAAAUAAUCUAAAUGUCUGUCAACAGGGACAGGUCAUAUAAAUCAUGGUAAAUCCAUUCUUUGGGACAUAUGCAGCUGUUAAGGAAAAUGAGAAUGAGAACACUCUGAAUGCAUACGGAAUGAUUAAGAUGGAAAGCAAACACAAAGAGAAACAUAAAACUACUCUUGAAGGAUAUACAAGAAACUGAUACUACUGGCGGCCUCCAGGAAGGGAAAAGGGUGAACUGGGAGGACUUUUUCUACUUUAAAAAAAAAAAAAAAAAUUUUUUUUUUUUUUUUUUUUUUGUCUUUUUAGACAGUAGCAUAUGGAAGUUCCCAGGAACUUCUGUAUACUAUGGGCAUAGCCAAAAAAAAAAAAAAAAAAAAAAAAAAAGGUUUUUUCCUGCCUCCUGCACUGGUAUUGCCCAAGCUUUUCUUGCUAAGAAGCAACCAUGAGAGCCCCAGAUCUGAUGCAAGAGGCAGAGGCUUCUGUGGGUGUAUUAGAUACCUACAUAUCAAAUUACCCCAAGUCAGUAGCUUAAAUCAACACUAAUUUAUCAUCUCCCAGUUCCCACUGGUCUGGAACCCCAGUAAACAUCCCUGCUCACGGCCUCACAUGGCUACAAUCUAGAUGUAGGCCAAGCUGGGGCUUUAAUCUGAGGCCUGGACCAAGCUCAUUUGUUGCAGCUGUAGGACCGAGGUCUUUAUUUUCUGGCUGCCUUUUAGCUGAGGGCUGCUCUCAGCUUCUAGACAUGAUCCACAGAUAUCUGCCACGUGGCCCUGUGCCAGGCCUUCUCUCAGCAAGGCAGGAGUUUACUUCUCCAGGGCCAGCAAGAGACUCUCUCCUCUUGGGAAGAAGCCAGUACCUCUUUUAAGUGCUGUCACCUGAUUUGGUCAGGUCUAUCUGGAGAUGAUGUCCUUUUGACCAACCCAGAAUCAACUGAUUUGGAACGUUAACGACAUCUGCAGCAUCCCUUCACCUUGACACACGACAUAACCACAGGAAUGACAUCCCAUCACCUUGGCCACAUUCUAUUGGUUAGAACAAGUCACACGUCCCACCCACACUCAAGAGGAUGGAAUUACAUAAGGUUGUGACUCACUGGGGGUCCCCCUAGGCAGUUCCUAGGGUGUGCCUGCCACAGUGGGCUAGCCUGGGAACCAGUUUGUCAUACACAGAGAGACAGCACACCAUGGGGGUGGGAGGGUCAGGCCUUGGCCACAACUGGGUUUGAAGGCCAACUCCAGAAUUUAAUGGAAUGUUUGGACCUUGGGCAAGUUACAAGACCUCUCAGUCUUCAUUCAACCAAAAGAAGGGAGAAAUAAAUAACGAACAGAGUCAUUAAGGGUUACUCUAAGGGAAACUGCAUGUAAAAUGGCCCGAUAUAAGAGAGCAGACACUCAAACCAUAGUUCUCCUCUCUGGAGGAACUUAGGACUUAAACAGAAGAAUGCUACUAAUGGUCUCCUCUUAAGCCUUCCAGCAGCCCAGUCAGGAACAUGUGAGACACUUUCUAAACUACUACACAUGCUGUCUGGCCUACACACCCAGCAGGGGUUUUCCCCACUCUGCAAAGGGUUUUCGUCUCUGGCAAAGAGUGAAAUUGCCAUUUGCACCUGCUGUGACAUCUCAGAGCGCCUCCUUUUAGAUUAGUUACCCACCCACUAGUGAGGAGCCAAAUGUAUAAAUUAUGGACCAACCAAAUAAUAAACUCAUAUGUCAUUAUCACAGCAUCAUUUUCUUUUCUUUCUUUCUUUUUGUCUUUUUAGGGCUGCUCCUGUGGCAUAUGGAGGUUCCCAGGCUAGGGACUGAAUUGGAGCUGCAGAUGCUGCUUACACCACAGCCACAGCAAUGCCAGAUCCUAGCCUUGUCUUUGACCUACACCACAGCGCACGGCAAUGCCGGAUCCUUAACCUACUGAGCAACGCCAGGGAUUGAACCUACGUACUCAUCCGUACUAGUCAGGUUCAUUUCCUGAGCCAAGACGGGAACUCCACAGCAUCAUUUUCGAAUGAGGUUUAAGGAGUUCCUGCCAUGGCUCAUCGGAAAUGAACCUGCUAGCAUCCACGAGGACACAGGUUCGAUCCCUGGCCUUGCUCAGUAGGUUAGGAAUCCAGCAUUGCUGUGAGCUGUGGUAUAGGUCACAGAUUCGGCUCGGAUCUGGUGUUGCUGUGACUGUGGUGUAGGCUGGCAUCUACACUGAUUCAACCCCUAGUCUGGGAACUUCCAUAUGCCACAGGUGUGGACCUGAAGAAAAAAAUCAAAUGACAUGAGAAAAUACUCAUGACAUAUUGAUAAUG
rnacentral:lncRNA from 1 species